AGAGGGUGGUUGUGAUGGCUGUGCUAGGAAAGCAUGCUCGAUUAUUUUUGACGCUUUGCUUGACUAUAGAACCAGGUGUACACAACAACAAAAGGAUCUUGACAGAAGUCGAAAUGACAUGAUCAACUUAAUCCAGGAUCUCGUUCCUUUGUUGUCCAAGGACGCUAGUGAU